CCCCUUGAGCGGGGCUACAGUCCAUAGAAGGUGCUAGACCUGUACGGGUGAAAAAAGUUACGGUAGGUUAUUCCUUGGAGUCGGGUUGUUUGAGAUUGCAGCCCAAAGAGGGUGGUAAACCUCAUCUAAGGCUAAAUACGACCAUGAGACCGAUAGCAAACAAGUACCGUGAGGGAAAGUUGCAAAGAACUUUGAGGAGGAGCUCUA
rnacentral:rRNA from 1 species